AUCAAAAAAAAAUUUGAAGAGGUAGUCAUAAGUUAGAGAAAAGAAUACGAGAGAAAGAAAGAGAAAAGGAGACUAAGCCAAGUUAGAAGCUAGAGAGGAAGAAGAUGAGCUAUGAUUGCCUUCAAUCAAGAUUCUCAGGUUGUAUGUUUGUCGGUGUUCGGGUUGUUGGUGAAGCUCCGCUCUGAUUAUGACACGGGGAAGGGUUCAGAGUCUUUAUUUGUUGUUUUUUUUAUUUAAUUUAAAUUAAAGGUGUAUAUUUUAUAAAAGGGUUUUGUAUAAGUGAUAAUUACUAAUUAAUUUUAUCAGUAGAGUUUUUAAUGAAGAAUGUAACACCUUUUGAACCAAUAUUUUAUAAUUCAUUUUGACUUCGAGUCUUAAAGUUAUUUUUUUA